GGUGGCUCAGUGGUAGAGCGCUUGCCUCGCAUGCAUAAGGCCCUGGGUUCCAAUCCUCAGCACCA
rnacentral:tRNA from 1 species